UGAAGGCGUCUAAUAGUCCCCGCCCAUUUCGUCCUUCCACAAAUAAGAAGUGGAUCUUAUUUGUGGAAGGGCGAAAUGGGCGGGGACUAUUAGACGCCUUC
rnacentral:pre_miRNA from 14 species